AGAGCCUGUGCAGGGGCUGCUUUGCUUUGCAGGCAAGGAAGGGCUUGGGCUGCUCCACUGCCCUUGUUUGCUUUGGGAUCACCAUGGGGGCAGUGCAGGGGAAGGGAGAAAGCCUGGGCUUCCCUCCCCUGUGACUUUUUUUUUUUACUUUUUUCCUUGUUUCCCCUUUUUGUCUGUAAUCUAUUUUCAAUAAUUUGUUGUUUGUUUUUCUAGAGGAAAACCUGUUCCAGGUGGGGUCCAGUCUGGAUCAGGAAGUGCUUGGGAGCAGCUGCAGCGUGGAUGGGCCGUGCCCUUGGAGAAGGCUGAGGGCAUCGUUUGGGACCAGCUUUUCUUCCAGCGGUGGAUGGUGUGAGCCGGGCUCUGCGGGUGCUGAGGCUGCUCUGGGCUCUGCCAGGGCUCUGCUGGGCUCUGCCCUGGGCACAGCUGGGCUGGCUCUGCCCUCACAUUGCUCUGACAGCUUUGCAUCAGACAAGCCUAUUCCGAGCACAGUGCCUGAGCUUUCUGCUUUGGCAGAAGUGCCACAAAUAGACUGAACCUGGCAAGUGGGCCGUGUUCCCGAGGCAGUGCAGUCUGGAACUGAUGGAUGGAGAAGUGCCCUUCUGCACUUCCAAACCAGACCAAAAAGCUGUAAGAGGGAUUUUCUGUCUUUAAGAAACCCUUGACAGUUUCAACGGGAAUGUGCAGCUCAUUCA